rnacentral:tRNA from 1 species
GCCGGGAUGACGAAAUUGGUAGACGUAGCGGACUUAAAAUCCGCAGGAGCUUAACCUCCGUGCCGGUUCAAGUCCGGCUCCCGGCACCA